UAAAGGAUAAUUAGGAUUUCUAAGAUCUUUAGUUAUCUACUAGUUGGACUAGAGUGAAAUUUAUAUAUAAAGGUAAUAGACUUGAUUUGCUACUCAUAUGUGAAUUUUGAAAAUAAUUGAAUGGUUUGAAAAUGAGAUAUUAGUACUAGAAAUUCAAUAUUUAGAUUGGAGUAGUAGGCCAGCUAAUACCUAAGAGGAUUUUAGGAUUUUUCUUCUAUUUGGUAAGUGCAAUUAUCUUCAAAUUUUUUGUAUAAUUUUCUUACUAAGAAUUUGAGAGGUGUGUAAAUUUUCAAGCAAGAUUGAUGGUUUAAUCAAUAGAUAUUAGAGUUUUGAUUUGCUUUAGAUUUUAGGAUUUAGGAUUUGUUAAGGAUUUGUCUAGGAUUUAGUUUAAGCUUUAGGAUUUGUCUAGAAUUUGGUUUAGGAUUUAGGAUUUAUUUAGGAUUUGAUUUAAAGUUUAGGAUUUGUCUAAGGUUUGAUUUAGGAUUUAAGAUUUGGCCUAGGGUUUGAUUGAAGACCAUUAUGAUUUCAAUUAGGAUUAAAUUAGGACUUGAUUAAAGUUUAUUUAA
rnacentral:lncRNA from 1 species